rnacentral:snoRNA from 1 species
GACCUCUCUCCCGUUAGGCCGUGGGGGGAUGGAAGUCUUAUUUCUUCUCAGUGGGGGUGUAAAGAUCAAAAUCAGCCCUUGAGAAUAACUGACAGAACCACCAAGCACCUGGUAGCCUUGUUUUCUUGCCUCGGACAUUA